UUGGAGAGUUUGAUCCUGGCUCAGAUUGAACGCUGGCGGCAGGCCUAACACAUGCAAGUCGAGCGGCAGCGACAUAAACAAUCCUUCGGGUGCGCUUAUGGGCGGCGAGCGGCGGACGGGUGAGUAAUGCCUGGGAAUAUGCCCUGAUGUGGGGGAUAACCAUUGGAAACGAUGGCUAAUACCGCAUAAUCUCUUCGGAGCAAAGAGGGGGACCUUCGGGCCUCUCGCGUCAGGAUUAGCCCAGGUGAGAUUAGCUAGUUGGUGAGGUAAGAGCUCACCAAGGCGACGAUCUCUAGCUGGUCUGAGAGGAUGAUCAGCCACACUGGAACUGAGACACGGUCCAGACUCCUACGGGAGGCAGCAGUGGGGAAUAUGCACAAUGGGGGAAACCCUGAUGCAGCCAUGCCGCGUGUGUGAGAGGCCUUCGGGUUGUAAAGCACUUUCAGUUGUGGGAGGCAAGCGUUAAACGUGUGUGUUGUCGUUGACACGAAAAACAGAUUACACUG
rnacentral:rRNA from 1 species